GAUGAAGAACGUAGCGAAAUGCGAUAAGUAAUGUGAAUUGCAGAAUUCAGUGAAUCAUCGAAUCUUUGAACGCACAUUGCGCCCGCCAGUAUUCUGGCGAGCAUGCCUGUUCGAGCGUCAUUUCAACCAUCAAGCCCCAGGCUUGUGUUGGAGCCCUGCGGCUGCCGCAGCCUCCCAAAACCAGUGGCGGGCUCGCUAUCACACCGAGUGCAGUAGUUUACUCUUCGCUCAGGGCGUGUGGCGGGUGCUAGCCGUGAAACCCCCAACUUCUCAAGGUUGACCUCGGAUCAGGUAGGAAUACCCGCUGAACUUAAGCAUAUCAAUAAGCGGGGA
rnacentral:misc_RNA from 1 species